UUUAUGUGUGGCUUUGGACAAAUGUGUCUGCCAAAUCCCAUAACCAUAACCAUAACCAUAACAUCAGGGAAAAUUGCUCACUCUUUCCAUAUGUCACUGUGCCACACCUAUUUUUCUGUGACCAGUUCAUCCACUAUUGUGAAGCCAUGGGGUGGGGCCCACAACAACAGGUAACGUGAUGAUGAAUGGUAUGUUCAACGUAAUAAAUAUUCAGUAUGUAGGCAAAGAGUAUUGAAGUAGCCUACUUCUAUAGUCUGGCGUGUGUAAGAAGCAUUAAAAUGUAAGUAAAUGCAUUGCAUUUUAAUAAACGUAAUCGGUUGCACGGUCUCUGAACGUGUCUGUUUGUUUCAAUGACUCCGGUAUAUAAGCCUAUAGUUUGAGUGGGUGGUGCAAAGUAAAUAGACGUAACAUUUUUUUUUUUUUGUUCUCGUGCAUUAACAUACCCCAUUUGGCAGCGCCCGAAUCCGGAAGAAGCCAAUGAUCUUUUAAGAAUAGGCUACUGACAACAGGUGAAGAAUCACAGCGCCAGAGGUUUUCUAUCAAGUGAAAAAAACCCCUGCAAAACUCACCUGACCUGAAGUGGAUCAACUUGCUAUGUGGCCUAACCAAGGUCCUCCAAUGGGUCCCCCUGGCUACCCUGGUAUGGGUCCCCCCGGCUACCCUGGUAUGGGUCCC